rnacentral:rRNA from 1 species
AGUGAACGCUGGCGGCAGGCCUAACACAUGCAAGUCGAGCGGCAGCGCGGGGCAACCUGGCGGCGAGCGGCGGACGGGUGAGGAAUACAUCGGAAUCUACCCAGUCGUGGGGGAUAACGUAGGGAAACUUACGCUAAUACCGCAUACGACCUGAGGGUGAAAGCAGGGGAUCGCAAGACCUUGCGCGAUUGGACGAGCCG